UAAUAAUUUUUUUUAAGAAAAUUACUAUUUAUAUUUUUAUUUUGUACAACAUACUUUUUUUUAAAUCGGACCAUUUCCCUUUAUUUCUCUAACAUUAAAAAUAAGGGUAUUUAAUAAAUGUAUUACAAUAUACUAUUUUACAUAUUUUAGGUAGUAACACAGAACGAAGAUGACAAUGAAAAUCUCAAAAGUUCUGUAGUUAAUUUAAAGAAAGAAAUUUAUGAUGAAUAUGACACACUAUUCAGUUUAAGUGAUGUACUGAUAAAAGUAUUAUUCUACAAGGCACAACUGAACAAUAAAGAAUUUGGUAAACGUUACAAUUUUGAACCCUGUUAUAAUGUAAUAUAUAAAAUUUCAAAAUUGCAUCCUCCAAAUGAUAUAUAUAUAUCUUAUUACGGAUAUUUUUAACUAUUAUUUAAAAUAUUCUACAAUUAUAAAAAAUUGUAAUCCCUACAUCCAAUAAUUUAUUGUAUUUCAUUAUUAUUAUUGCAUUAAGUUUAUUUAAAUUUCAUUUUCAAUUUAUUGUAGAUUCUGUGCCGCACUCGGUUUAUUUGUACUUGUAAUUGCUUAAAUUAAUCCGCCAAUCUUAUUAUUUCGACAGAAAUAUAAACGGUAUGUCUGUUAAAUGUCAUAAAUUCUUUUUGGCAUCUAUUUUAUUUGCAUAUCCUCAUAAUAUUUUUAAGUUACGUUAAAUAAAAAAUAAUUUGGUUUCGUCAA